rnacentral:rRNA from 1 species
UACGUAGGGAGCGAGCGUUGUCCGGAAUUACUGGGUGUAAAGGGAGCGUAGGCGGGACUGCAAGUUGGGUGUCAAAUCUACCGGCUCAAUCGGUAGCCGCACUCAAAACUGCAGUUCUUGAGUGAAGUAGAGGCAGGCGGAAUUCCUAGUGUAGCGGUGAAAUGCGUAGAUAUUAGGAGGAACACCAGUGGCGAAGGCGGCCUGCUGGGCUUUUACUGACGCUGAGGCUCGAAAGUGUGGGGAGCAAACAGG